UUUGUACAAAGGAAGAGCAGAACCUAAUCCAAAUAAAAAUAAACAAGCUGUUAAAAGCCAGUUGAAGGUGGUCAACACAAACCAAAUGAAGAUGUUGCACAUUCCACAAACAAUAAAAAAAGAAGAUCAAGUUUUGUGUCCAACACACUUGGAUGAGACGUGCCCGACCCCUGACUUUGUCUACCCUACAUUAAGUUGUAAG